rnacentral:tRNA from 1 species
UAAUGUACGGUUCUAACACUAACCUUUUAAUUACAUUAAACAUAGACGCGUUUUCAAGAUCUAUGUUAA